rnacentral:rRNA from 1 species
AACGAACGCUGGCGGCAGGCUUAACACAUGCAAGUCGAGCGCCCCGCAAGGGGAGCGGCAGACGGGUGAGUAACGCGUGGGAAUCUACCUUUUGCUACGGAAUAACGCAGGGAAACUUGUGCUAAUACCGUAUGUGCCCUUCGGGGGAAAGAUUUAUCGGCAAAGGAUGAGCCCGCGUUGGAUUAGCUAGUUGGUGGGGUAAAGGCCUACCAAGGCGACGAUCCACAGCUGGUCUGAGAGGAUGAUCAGCCACAUUGGGACUGAGACACGGCCCAAACUCCUACGGGAGGCAGCAGUGGGGAAUAUUGGACGAUGGGCGCAAGCCUGAUCCAGCCAUGCCGCGUGAGUGAUGAAGGCCUUAGGGUUGUAAAGCUCUUUCACCGGUGAAGAUAAUGACGGUAACGGGAGAAGAAGCCCCGGCUAACUCUGUGCCAGCAGCCGCGGUAAAAC